AGAGGUCAAGCUGAUCAGAGCAGAGAUGCUGAAUAAGAACACAGAAUUUUGGGAAAGUGAAUGAAUUCCAGACACGCUGACAGUAACAUCAGAAGAGGCAGUUGGGAAAAGAUGCACAAUUCAAAAAUCUGGCAGAUGCUUUGUGGCAUCAGAUGCUUUAAAAUGCUUGAAGUACCAAAUGAAGUUGCUUUGGAAGAAUGGUUGCAAUGCAUGGACCUGCGAGGUUAUUGAAUGCGUCAAUUACACAGCAAACCAUUUUAUCAUAUCCUACCUGCUUCCUGGAAGAACAGCAAAGCUGAAGUUUUGCCAACUGCUAACAACCAGACAAAUGUCUAAAGGACACAGGAGGUUGAAUUAAGCAGUUCUUCAAAUAAAGGACAUCCUCAGAGGAAGAAGUAGAAUGUGCAAAUAAGAGAACACUUGCAAACAAGAGAACCACCUAUCAAGAAAGAGAACACUUGUAUUUUAUUUCCUGUGAGUCUCCUAAGGAGUACAGCUUAUUUUUCUCUAGAUGUGCAAAUGUAUUCUACAGGAAUGUUUAUAUACAAUUCUCACUGCAUCUAAGCAAACUGCCUCUGGGGAAAAAAAUUGCAACUCAUCCUUUUAAUCCGCCUGUUUGUGAUGGGGCAGUUGACAAACAUCAGGAAAUAUCAUUUAUCACAUAGUGAAACAUGACAUGCUCCCAAGGCUUUACUCAGGGAAUCUUUAAUGUCUACAUAGCAAUGCAAACAAAGUCAGUUUCUUUCAUGAAUGUUGAACUGAACUUUUGAAUUUGCCAAAUCAGUUGGGAUCUACAAUAUCAGUGCAGUACUUGUUUGGUGUGUCUUAAAAUAGGUCUGUUUAAACCAAAUUCUUCACAACAGUCAAAUAGAAAUUGAUGAGCAGGGAAAGAGAUUUGUUAAUUCUGAACACAAUGAAAUCAUGCUGUAUCCUAAGCCAGUUUGGUUUAGUAGUUAAGAUGCUGGCCUAGAAACUAGGAGACUGUGAGUUCUAAUCCCACCUUAGGCAUGAAAGCCAGCUGG